GGACACUGGAGACAUAGGGACCCUGCUGGGACCGGGCUCCUAAAAAAGUAAAUUGCUGGAUGAGUUGAAUCCAGAGUCCUCUGUGCGUGGGGCACUCCCACUAAAAAAGUUUUAUAGCUAGAUCAUGAUGUGCCCAGGAAUGGCAAUGACAGCACCUGACACGUAUGGAUACUGACUUCUGAG